CCUACGGGUGGCUGCAGUGGGGAAUAUUGCACAAUGGGCGGAACCCUGAUGCAGCGACGCCGCGUGGGUGAAGAAGCGCCUCGGCGCGUAAAGCCCUUUCAGCAGGGGAGAAAAUGACGGUACCUGAAGAAGAAGCCCCGGCUAACUACGUGCCAGCAGCCGCGGUAAAACGUAGGGGGCAAGCGUUAUCCGGAUUUACUGGGUGUAAAGGGGGCGCAGGCGGGGUUGCAAGCCAGGAGUGAAAGCCCGGGGCACAACCCCGGGACUGCUGUUGGAACUGCAUGGCUGGAGUGCAGGAGGGGCAGGCGGAAUUCCUGGUGUAGCGGUGAAAUGCGUAGAUAUCAGGAGGAACACCGAUGGCGAAGGCAGCUUGCUGGACUGCAACUGACGUUGAGGCUCGAAAGCGUGGGGAGCAAACAGGAUUAGAUACCCGUGUAGUC
rnacentral:rRNA from 1 species